CGGAGAGGGAGCAUGAGAAACGGCUACCACAUCUAAGGAAGGCAGCAGGCGCGUAAAUUACCCAAUCCUGACUCAGGGAGGUAGUGACAAGAAAUAACAACCCGGGGGAUUCACAUCAUUACGGGAUUGCAAUGAGAACAAUUUAAAUCACUUAGCGAGGGUCAAUUGGAGGGCAAGUCUGGUGCCAGCAGCCGCGGUAAUUCCAGCUCCAAUAGUGUAUAUUAAAGUUGUUGCAGUUAAAGAGCUCGUAGUUGAACUUCUGGCAGUGUGCAGAUAUGGCUUCGGUCAGUCUGUACGCUGUCAUCCGUCUGCAAACUUUGUACAACCUUCAGUGGCUUGGCAAGGGGAGUAGACAUUUUACUUUGAAAAAAUUAGAGUGUUUCAAGCAGGUUAAUGCCAGAAUACUUUAGCAUGGAAUAAUGGAAUAGAACUCUUGUCCAUUUGGUUGGUUAUUGGACCGGAGUAAUGAUUAAUAGGGACAGUUGGGGGCAUUAGUAUUUAAUUGUCAGAGGUGGAAUUCAUGGAUUUAUUAAAGACUAACUUAUGCGAAAGCAUUUGCCAAGGAUGUUUUCAUUAAUCAAGAACGAAAGUUAGGGGAUCAAAGACGAUCAGAUACCGUCCUAGUCUUAACUAUAAACGAUGUCGACUCGGGAUUGGAAAGGUAAUCUUAUCCUUUCCAGCACCGUAUGAGAAAUCAUUAAGUCUUUGGAUUCUGGGGGGAGUAUGGUCGCAAGGCUGAAACUUAAAGGAAUUGACGGAAGAGCACCACCAGGCGUGGGACCUGCGGCUUAAUUUGACUCAACACGGGAAAACUUAUUUCAGCAAAACAUGAGUGGGAUUGACAGAUUGAGAGCUCUUUCUUGAUUUUAUGGGGUGUGGUGCAUGGCCGUUCUUAGUUGGUGGAGUGAUUUGCCUGGUUAAUUCCGUUAACGAACGAGACCUUAACCUGCUAACUAGUCGAUGUGUUACCUACGCAUUGUACUUCUUAGAGGGACUAUGGGUUAUAAGCCCAUGGAAGUUUGAGGCAAUAACAGGUCUGUGAUGCCCAUAGAUGUUGAAAGCGGCACGCGCGUCAUACUGUCCUGUAACAGCAAGUUACAUCCUCUCUUGGAAAAGAAGGGGUAAUCUAUAAAACAGGACGUGGUAGGGAUAGAUCUUUGGAAUUAUAGAUCUUGAACGAAGAAUGCCUAGUAAGUACAAGUCAUCAACUUGUGCUGAUUACGUCCCUGUCCUUUGUACACACCGCCCGUCGCUCCUACCGAUUUCGAGCGAUAUGGUGAACCUCCUGGACCGUGAAACUCCUUGUGGGUUUUGUGGAAAGUUUAGUAAACCUUAUCGCUUAGAGGAAGGAGAAGUCGUAACAAGGUAACC
rnacentral:rRNA from 1 species